UACGAAGGGGGCUAGCGUUGCUCGGAAUCACUGGGCGUAAAGCGCACGUAGGCGGCUUUUUAAGUCAGGGGUGAAAUCCUGGAGCUCAACUCCAGAACUGCCUUUGAUACUGGGAAGCUUGAGUUCGGGAGAGGUGAGUGGAACUGCGAGUGUAGAGGUGAAAUUCGUAGAUAUUCGCAAGAACACCAGUGGCGAAGGCGGCUCACUGGCCUGAUACUGACGCUGAGGUGCGAAAGCGUGGGGAGUAAACAGG
rnacentral:rRNA from 1 species